CGGGAAUUUUCCGCAAUGGGCGAAAGCCUGACGGAGCAACGCCGCGUGAGUGAGGACGGCCUUCGGGUUGUAAAACUCUGUUCUUGAGGAAGAAUUCCUUCCAGGCGAACAGCCUGGAAGGUUGACGGUACUCAAGGAGAAAGCCCCGGCUAACUACGUGCCAGCAGCCGCGGUAAUACGUAGGGGGCGAGCGUUAUCCGGAAUUAUUGGGCGUAAAGCGCGCGCAGGCGGCCGGUUAAGUCAGGUGUGAAAGGCUGCGGCUCAACCGCAGAGCGGCACCUGAAACUGGUCGGCUUGAGUGCAGGAGAGGGGAGCGGAAUUCCCGGUGUAGCGGUGGAAUGCGUAGAGAUCGGGAGGAACACCAGUGGCGAAGGCGGCUCUCUGGCCUGUAACUGACGCUGAGGCGCGAAAGCGUGGGGAGCAAAC
rnacentral:rRNA from 1 species